UAACAUUUUUAUCUUAUAAUAUGGGACAUUAAUUACAUGAAAUUUAACUCUUAACAAAAACAAAUCUGUGGAAAACAAGACAUCCAUCAAUAUUCUUGGGUAUCAUGUUGGUAAUGGCGUCAUCAAACCAGAUGAAGAAAGACUUAAACCUCUACAGGAAUUUCCUCCUCCCACCAAUGUGCGUUCUCUAAGAAGAGUUGUUGGUAUGUUCGCUUACUAUGCCAAAUGGAUACCGAACUUUUCUGACAAAAUACAGCCACUUGUGAGUGCUAAUGCCUUCCCAUUAAGUAAGACUGCCCUUGAAGCUUUUGAUCUGCUAA